rnacentral:lncRNA from 1 species
GGAAGACGCUGGGGAGAGCGUUGAAGGGCGGGUCCCAGGGACUAAAGGGACCUCGGGACUCUUUGGAGUCUGUCAGCCGGGUCAGGACCCGGGGAGGGAAGGUGGAGGUGGACCCUGACCCAGGCGAGUGACGGUGGGCCUGCACGAUCGCGGAGAUGGACUUGAGGAGCAGGAACGGGUCUAGGGGAUAACAUUCCUCUUUUCUCGCGUUGGAAUUCAAAGGCUGGACCGGAGGUCCGGCGGCGUCCAGUUGCCUUGGCAACCGGCGGUGUGGGCGGGGUUAACGGGCUAAGGGGUAGAGGGUGUCUGGGUGGGACUCAGAGGUGAAGCGGAGCGAGUGCUUCUGCUAGAUAUGAACAGCUUCCGCAGUUUCCCCGAACAUUUUGGGCAUUACCCACUCCUAAGCUACAGCACAUGCUCUUUUUGCCGGUUAUGUCUUUCCCUCCCCUCAGUCUCUGGCGGCCCCCCUCACCUCGGUGAUUUAGUUGCCCCGAGAUAUACAAUGCUGUGCCCUGAAUUUGCAAAGCAGGGCCCCCGGCCCCAAUACACUCCCUGAGUCGUGUACCAGAAGUGUCCCCACCCUGCUGCUCCCCUUUCGGGACGCACUAAGCAACAGCUCAAGCUCACAGAAGCAUAGAAGAGGCAAGAAACCCCCGCUCAUGUCACCUGCCGCGGCCCCGAUGAGGGCACGGACUGCCAUCCUUCUCGGACACAGUGGCCUCUUAGCCACAGGGUUCUCCAGACCUCUGCCCCACAAUCCUAAAGCCCUCUUGCUCUGUCUCCCAGGGCCCAGCGUUCUUUUUAGACUGUGGGUUACAAGAGGUUGGGGACUGAUCUGAGUGGCAACUCCAUACAAAAUCUCUUGGAGACCCCAAAAUUGCUUUAGUCUAUCGCUUGCUAUGAGGCUUGGGAUGGGAGUAUAGCCCAGCGGUAGAUGAGUGAGGCCCUGGGUUCCACCUCAAGUACCAUAAAAAAAAAAAAAAAAAAUAAUAGGGCUUCAAAUUCCCAGUUUGACUCAAAUUCUUUCCAUCAUUUAUAAGCCUCUCCAAGUCUGUAAAAUGGACAUAAUAGUGAUACAGGGUGUAUGAUAUAGGACCUCCAAAUAAUCCAAAUUAUGUAAGGGAAAUAUAACUCCCAACCUUCUAGGUAUCCCAACCUUCUAGGUAUCCAAACCACCGAGUUCGUGUUCUCUGAAAUCAAAGAAAGUACUCUAGGAAAACAGAGGUUAAAAGUAGGAAGAAUUUAUUGAGGGGAAGACAGCUCCUGCCUGAGAGACAGGAGGGGGCACCCAGAAAGUGGAUUGCCUAGGACCAGCGUUUUAAGAGUUUUUUAUGGAGCAAAGCCUGAGGUGAGGCGGGUACAAAGUGGGACAAAGCUAUAGUCAACUAAUAAGAUCCAAUGGAAAAUCAGAAGGUGUGUAUGAGGUAGGACAAAACUAUGAUCAACCAGUAAGAUUACAAGUACAGUUGCUUAGGAAAUAUUGAUUAAAUGGGGAUCAAAUAGGGAAACAAGUCACAUAGCAAGCAUGUAUGGAAGGAACAAGAAUUUCCAGAAAGGGAGGGGUAAGGUCUUGGGCCCCCAGCCGGGUGAUCAAUACCUAUUUAGAAUGUCAGUUACCGCUGUUCAGCCCUAGGGGAAGUAUGUAGAUGCAGUUGUUCCUCUUGGAUCCUGGUCUUGAGUAAAUGGGCCUGGAUUUUCUUCUGUAUUGACUCCCUCAAGGGCCUGGCCCUGUGUGACUGCCUACAACAUAUGUAAUUAACUUAGUUCUCUAUACUAAUAGUAUCUAUGUUAUAUAGGACACAUGAUAUAUACCUGCAUGCCAUUAUAUAUCACAUAUAUGAAUUGUGUAUCACACAUAUAUCAAUCUGCAUAUCAAGUACAUAUAUCUAUACAACAUAUGCAUAUUCUGUAUUUUCAUACACAGAUGAUGUUUCUUCAGGCUCAACACUAGUACACAUAGGUGCACAAACACGCAUGUGCACAUCACACACACACACACAGUCCUGGCACCAGUAACAGCAGCUUGCAGAACCUGAAGGAAACAGGUGGGAGGUGGUGGUCUUUGAGUCAGUUUUCAUAUCCUGCAGUGGUUGAGGCUUUGGAAGGGCAGCCCCCGAUCUGUUGAUUUUGGCUGCCUGGCCCUUCUACCUCACUCUGUGUGCUCUGCAGGGCUCCUCAGAUGAUUGUGCACAAAGAGAGCAUCCCAUGAGCCUGGGCUCCCAUGGCAUCCAAAGACAAAGACAUAGUGCCCUCACUGGGCUCCCCCUGGGACGCCAUCCUCCAGGCUGCCAAAGACCAGCUCCCGUCCCUGGACUCCGACUCCUCCUUGGUGAGCAAGAGCUUUCUCCUAAGCAUCAAGUGACCUUCCCAUGAUGUGCAUGACACCGGCCAAGGACAGCUUUGGAGCACUCCUCUCUGAAGACCUCCCUCCACUCUAUGGGAUUUGUUUUCCUUUUCCUUUCACUCUUCUGGCCUUAAAGGUGUUUUCUAGUACCCACUUCCUUCUUUAUCUUUCCUUCUGCAUUUGUCAGUAUCUCUGAAUACAUGUAUUGGUCCUCAGCAUCCACCAUUUCAGUGGUGGUUCUGGGCUCCACCUGUAAGCCAGGUGAGCUCUGCUGCUAAGUUCUUGAAUUUUUGUGUGUGUCUGUCUACCAUGAACUACACCCCUAGCCUUGCUGUGCUGUUCUUGACAAGACAAGUGCCAGCCCCACCACUUGGAGUGGUGACCAUACCAGUGCAUUGUG